rnacentral:rRNA from 1 species
UACGAAGGGGGCUAGCGUUGCUCGGAAUUACUGGGCGUAAAGGGCGCGUAGGCGGAUAGUUUAGUCAGAGGUGAAAGCCCAGGGCUCAACCUUGGAACUGCCUUUGAUACUGGCUGUCUUGAGUUCGGGAGAGGUGAGUGGAAUGCCGAGUGUAGAGGUGAAAUUCGUAGAUAUUCGGCGGAACACCAGUGGCGAAGGCGACUCACUGGCCCGAUACUGACGCUGAGGCGCGAAAGCGUGGGGAGCAAACAGG